rnacentral:tRNA from 3 species
CGGAGUGUAGCUCAGUUUGGUAGAGCACUGCUUUCGGGAAGCAGGGGUCGCUGGUUCAAGUCCAGUCACUCCGACCA